UUUUAUAUGUAUUUAAUUAAAAUUUUCAAUGUAAUAUGGUAUCACAAAAACAUCUCAGAUUGUAUAUAUUAUACAUUAUUAUAUUUCAAAGGAUAUCAAAAAAUUUUAAAACGUUCUGACAUAAAAUUCUAUUCUCCAGCAUUGUUUUAUUUUAAGACACAAACUGUAGACACCCAGAAUUCAGAUCAGAUGCAAGGUGUUACUCUCUCACUUCAUCGAAAAUUACAAAAGAAAUUUGAACAGAGUGACACCUUAAAAGGAAAAUAAAUGAUAGAAAAUAUAUGAUCAAACAAAGAAUGUUAAGAAAACACAAAGUUUGGACCUUUGGGAAAGUAUCACUCCAUACAUAUUGCUAUUAUAUUAUAAUGUUGUUAAAAGAAUUUUGUUUUCUUGCCAAUAAUGAAGAAAAAUUCAUUUCCAUUGGAAGGAGGCAGAAAUUUAUCUAAGUUUCACAUCAAUACAAAAACAGGAAAAGAGAAAUCAGAUCAACACAGGACAUUCAUUAAUUAUCAAAUUAAAUGUGCUCCUAACGUUAGUGCAGGAAAUCUUUUAUACGCAACAGCGGAUGCUGAAAGACAUAUAUAGAUGAAGGAAGGGGGGAGAAAAACAAGUUAUUAGUGACAAGACAGUGAUUAAUUGGAGAGUCGCUUAGUGGUCACCGAACAAACCAGACAUCUCCGUGGGUCACUCUGAGGUAUCCACACAGACCAGACAUCUCCAAGAGUCUGCUCACAGAUUCUGGACAGAAGGUGGAAAAAAUGUAGCAGAGAAGAAUGAUUCUGUGUUCCAUCCUGUUGGUGGAUAUCUGACAAGGAC
rnacentral:lncRNA from 1 species